rnacentral:rRNA from 1 species
CGAAUCUUCCGCAAUGCGCGAAAGCGUGACGGAGCGACGCCGCGUGGGUGAUGAAGGCCUUCGGGUUGUAAAACCCUGUCGGUUGCUAGGAACCGCAGGUGGUGACUAGCCACCUGUCUGACCAUGCAGCAAAGGAAGCACCGGCGAAAUACGGUCCAGCAGCCGCGGUAAUACGUAUGGUGCAAACGUUGUUCGGAAUCACUGGGCCUAAAGAGCGCGUAGGCGGUCGAGUAAGUCAGACGUGAAAUCCCCCGGCUCAACCGAGGAACUGCGUCUGAUACUGCUCAGCUAGAGUGCAGGAGGGGAGAGUGGAAUUCCUGGUGGAGCGGUGAAAUGCGUAGAUAUCAGGAGGAACGCCGGUGGCGAAAGCGACUCUCUGGCCUGCUACUGACGCUGAGGCGCGAAAGCUAGGGGAGCAAAC